rnacentral:misc_RNA from 1 species
UUUCCGUAGGUGAACCUGCGGAAGGAUCAUUAUUGCAUAACCGAGGUGCGAGGGCUGUCGCUGACCCGAAAGGUCGUGCACGCUCGAGUGCCCUCACACACAUCCAUCUCACCCCUAUGUGCACCACCGCGUGGGUCCCCCUUUGGCUUGUUCGGAGGGGGGCUUACGUUUUCACACAAACUUUGUAUGCAGUGUAGAAUGUAUUUUUUGUUUUUGCGAUCACGCAAUCAAUACAACUUUCAACAACGGAUCUCUUGGCUCUC